GGUAGCCAAUCACAGCGCAGGAUUUGAUUCAUCUUGCCCGCACACGGAGCUAGCCAUAUAAUAAUUUGCGAUAUUAAGAAUAGCCCUACAGUUCUCAGAAUCCUUUUUGAUGUUAUAGCAAAUGCAAAAUCACGCAAUCACUUUUCAAAGUCCCAAUGUAACAAAGCUAGGUAAACAUGUCCGUGACACGUAUAGAACUACAUGACUGUCAGCAUUAUGCAGACCGAAAAAGUCGAAAAGGUUUCGAAGUUAUGAGCCUGGUGACUCAAUCAAAUUUGUGUGGAAACCGAGUCUUGAAAAUGAGAAGGUAACGACAAGACAUAAAAGGUCAGUCAUAUUCCUAGUGCAAGGAAGUUUACACGAAUCACAAAGAAAACAAAGCAUACCUAAUUCAAACGGAUUCUGAAAACAUUCCUGUGUACUGUCACGUGACAAACUCUGGUCUUGGAGCAUGCGGAGGAGCCAACCUUUCAUUACGACUCCAAUCUCUGGAGCAACAAGGCCGCCUUCAACAUUUCAGGAGGAAAAACUGGGCUUGAUGAUCAGGAGAACAAACUUCCGACCUACUGGAGCACGCCUUUCAACAAGAUUUGUCUCGGUAUGAGGAUCAGCCAAGAUACCAACUUCAUUGUUAUCAACCAGACCGCUAACUCUCUAUACUCUAUACUAUGCAUGUUUAUUUUUCCUGCUUCUUGUUAAGGGAAAAUUGGUUAACAGCGAAUUGUUAAGAAAUUUUUAACUGCAAACCAGGAAGAAGCAUGUAGUACAGUUGUUGUGAAAUAAAUAAAAGUGGUGAUGGGACUAAUUAAGUGAGUUAGUCGUGUCUUUAGGCACAAUUUUGUGCGAGAAAUGGUUAACCAACUCUUGAUUUUCCUUUUGGCAGACAAAUUUACUGCAAGUAAAGUUCUUUAAGGAUCUUAACAACCAGUUCAUUUACAAAUUAUUGCUGCAAUUAUGAAAAAUGAUCACAGCUCAGAGUCAGCGUGGAAUUAAAUCUGUGAUCUUCACGCCCCUGCCAACGCGAACUAAGAUUCUGCCUAAGCUGGUGGAGCUAAGGUCUCAAAACUCUCAACUUAUUUGAUGGAUGCAUGCUGUUUGUGAUGUUGGUCGCGAAAAAUAUGGCAGAGGAUUGUGGCUCACACUCCCUUAAGCAAGAAUGAAGUGGAAAAUGAGAUUAUUUGGAAUUAUAAACUUGUUACAACUGCAGGAAAGUCAGUAUUCUAUCGAUCGUGGUGAAGCCGGUAUUAAAUACAUAAAAGAUCUGAUAACUGAGGAUGGAAAUCUAAUGACAUUUAAUGUUUUCCAGCAUACCUUCGGCAUUAAAACACACUUUUUGCAGUACCUAGGGCUUUUAAACGCUAUUUCCACGAGCUGAAAAAAGAAACUCAAGAAUAGCUACAAGGAGAAUGAAACUAACGACUGCGAAGAUAAGAUUAUUGAUACACAAAAUAUCUCAAGUAAGACGCUUAGACAAAAUAAAAAGACAAAAAAGACAAAAAAGAUUUUUGAGAAGCUCACCUCAGCGGAAAAGCUUGAAAAGGCAGGUUUUUCUGCGGAUAAAAUUUCGCAUAUUUAUGAGCUUCCUUUCAAACUAA